ACCCGCACAAGCGGUGGAGCAUGUGGUUUAAUUCGACGAUACGCGAAGAACCUUACCUGGCCUUGACAUACUAAAAAGCUUUAAGAGAUUAGAGUGUGCUAGCUUGCUAGAAUUUAGAUACAGGUGCUGCACGGCUGUCGUCAGCUCGUGUCGUGAGAUGUUGGGUUAAGUCCCGCAACGAGCGCAACCCUCGUGUUUAGUUGCUAACAGUUCGGCUGAGAACUCUAAACAGACUGCCUACGCAAGUAGGAGGAAGGUGAGGACGACGUCAAGUCAUCAUGGCCCUUACGGCCAGGGCUACACACGUGCUACAAUGGGGUAUACAAAGAGCAGCGAUACGGUGACGUGGAGCAAAUCUAGAAAAUGCCUCUCAGUUCGGAUUGUAGUCUGCAACUCGACUACAUGAAGUUGGAAUCGCUAGUAAUCGUAGAUCAGCAAUGCUACGGUGAAUACGUUCCCGGGUCUU
rnacentral:rRNA from 1 species